UACGGAUAGGAGUCAUGUCAACAUGGACACAAGCAUGGAAGGGCAACGGGCCAAAGAUAAACACGGAAGCUAUGCUUGAACUCGGACGCUCGAGGUUGUACAGAACUGUGAAUUCUCAUCAUGAAGUGUAGGCGGUCGAAGAUCGAGUCAAGUCCUGGAUUGUACGUGUGGGUGCGUGGUCACGUAAUUUAAUAUAAGUAUGUCAGAUUGUAUAAAUUUAUAGAAAGCAUUAAUGUAUUUAAUGUAAAAGAGUGAUUUAAUGUA